GGCGGAAUGUGUAAUGUAACGGUGAAAUGCAUAGAUAGUACCCAAGAACACCGAUUGCGUAGGCAGCUUACCAGCGUGGGAACUGACGCUGAUGCACGAAAGCGUGGGGAACGAACAGGAUUAGAUACCCUGGUAGUACACCCCGUAAACGAUGAUGCAAUCGAUGUUGGCAAUAUAGAGUCAGAGGCUGAACGAAAGCAGCAAGUGAUCCACGUGGGGAGUACGUCGACACCGAUGAAACUCAAAGGAACCGACGGGGGCCCGCACAAGCGGUGGCACAUGUGCUCUAAGUCGAUGACACGCGAGGAACCUUACAUGGGCGUAAAUGUAGCCAGACGAUUACGGAAACCGGGAGUGUCACCAACCGGCCGGUUACAAGAUGCCGCAUGUCAGUUGUCAGCUCGAGACCGUGAGGUGUACGUGCUUAAGUCCCAUAACCGAGCGUCAUCCCUUAUUGUUAGUGGCCAGCGGGUACAGCCGGGGACUCUAAGGAGACUGCCACCCUCAGAUGUGAGGAAGGUGGGGAUGACGUCAAGUCAGCACGGCCCUUACGUCCAGGGCUACACACGUGUUACAAUGACCGGUACAGAAGGCAGCAAACUUGAGAGAG
rnacentral:rRNA from 1 species